CUCUCUUCCAAGCCGCUCUCUCCCUCUCUCUACGCGAAACAUUACUCCAAUCGUUGUGCCCUAGCUGCUUCUCGAUUAUCAAUUGAUCGAUAAUCAGAUGGCCUCUAAUUCACAAGCAGAGAAAGAAAAAUCUAAAUAUUUUAGUUGGACUCCCGAGAUGGAUAAGGUUCUCGGAGCGUGCUUCAUAGAACAGAUGAAUCAAGGAUAUAAACUCGAUUGAAAAUUUGCGUUGAAGUCUACAUCAUGGACAACUGCCAUAAAUGCACUUAUGGUGAAUCUAAACAUUAAGGUGGAUAAAAACAAUAUUAAAGCUCGUUUGAAGACUUGGGAGAAGCACUAUGAGAUCUUACAUCCAGUGCUAAUAUCAUGCAAUUCUGGUACUCCAAUCACAUGGGAUUACACAAUGGGUAGAAUCGUGGUUCACGAUGAAAACGUGUGGAAUGAACGAUUGAAGGCAAAAGUAAAACUUGCACCAUAUAGGAGAAGAAUUGUGAUCGAGAAUUGGGAUGAUAUUUGUACUCUUUUCUCCCAAGAGCGUGCUGAUGGACAAGGUUCAAGAACAAACUGAUGAGAUUGAGGUCGAUUCUCCUACCAUGGGAGAUUCACUUGACAAAUGCGAUGAACAAGUUGAUAUUUCCGUGAGAGAAUUGUUGGCCCGACAAAAACGAAAGGGGGCUACAUCUUCCUCAAGUUCUCUUGGAUCGAAGAAGGACUACGAUCAUUUCAGAUUGUAUGAAGCAAAUGACUGCCGACUUUAGUGACUAUAUGAUAAGAGAAAAGAAAAGGAACGAGUUUCUUCUUGGUGAGAAAAAAAAGGGUUAAUCCCCAAGUAAUUUUAGGAGAGUUGGAGAAUAUUGGUUUGGAGAUAAUAUGCAGAAAAUCAAGGCUGUGGAUUUGAUGAUGCACGAUCACAUAUUGUUUGAUACAUUUGUGGGAAUGCCAGUGGAGUUGAAGGAUAUGUUGCUCAAAAUACACCUUGAUAAGAGAAGUUGACAUUAUUUUUAGUAUGCAAUUGUUAGAUUGUCUAUGAGUUUGAACUUUGUUUAGACUUAGAUUUAUCAUAUUAGGUUUAUUAAACUUUGUUUUUGGAUGAUUAUAACUUUGAAUGUAUGGUAAAGACCUUCGUACUUUUCUACUCA